UACGUAGGAUGCAAGCGUUGUCCGGUUUUAUGGGGGUUAAAAGGUGCGUCGGCGGCCGAUUAUGUUAGUGGUGAAAACGUUCGGCUUAACCGGAUACCCGCCAUUGAUACUGAUAGACUUGAGUGCGAGAGAGGGUGUUGGAAUGUGUGGUGUAGCGGUGAAAUGCUUAGAUAUCACGCAGAACACCAAUUGCGAAGGCAGAUGCCUAUGUCGUAACUGACGCUGAGGCGCGAAAGCGUGGGGAGCAAACACG
rnacentral:rRNA from 1 species